ACUCACCUGUUAGUUUGCAAAGCUCCACCCACCUCCAACCUGAGCAGAUGUUUAAUCAGCCAGAGUUGGAAACACCUGUGAGGAUCUGCAGAGCCUUUGGGAACUGCUUGUUACCAUUUUUGAAAACCCUAAUGAAACAAUCUAGUAUUUAAUCUAUCAACCAUAUGCUUCCAAAUCAAACAAAAGAACAAAAGAAGAAUGGAUGGAAGGAUGACAGAUUUCCCAAAAUGACACCAUGUAAUUUUCAUCGAGCAGCUGAAAUUAUGAUUGAGGGGAAAAGGCAAUUGGUCAGGGUCAGAACAAAGACUGGCCGGUACAGUGAAGAACCCCUUGCAGUUCAGCUGCGUCUUCAUCACCACAAGGAGUUACAAAGCUGCAGAUUGACCUAACUGGUGAGCUGACAAGUGGAAACAAAGGAGAGACAGACACUGACAGCAGCACAGCAGGGGGCCGGAUAUAAGACCACACAGUGCCUCUACAGGGGUUUGCUAAGCCAUUUUAGCAUCUCAUACUGUAAGAGUGGAAGUUCAACUUUUUCAGGCCUAAAUGAGCGAUGAUUGCUGUGUAUGGAAGUUUUAAUAGUUUGAAAUAAAGGUAAUCCAGAUAAUCCCAGGAAUUAAUUACUCACUUU